AGUGAAUGCUGGCGGUAGGCCUAACACAUGCAAGUCGAACGGCAGCACAGUAAGAGCUUGCUCUUACGGGUGGCGAGUGGCGGACGGGUGAGGAAUACAUCGGAAUCUACUUUUUCGUGGGGGAUAACGUAGGGAAACUUACGCUAAUACCGCAUACGACCUACGGGUGAAAGCAGGGGAUCUUCGGACCUUGCGCGAUUGAAUGAGCCGAUGUCGGAUUAGCUAGUUGGCGGGGUAAAGGCCCACCAAGGCGACGAUCCGUAGCUGGUCUGAGAGGAUGAUCAGCCACACUGGAACGGAGACACGGUCCAGACUCCUACGGGAGGCAGCAGUGGGGAAUAUUGGACAAUGGGCGCAAGCCUGAUCCAGCCAUACCGCGUGGGUGAAGAAGGCCUUCGGGUUGUAAAGCCCUUUUGUUGGGAAAGAAAAGCAGCAGGUUAAUACCCCGCUGUUCUGACGGUACCCAAAGAAUAAGCACCGGCUAACUUCGUG
rnacentral:rRNA from 1 species